GCCCAACUGAUAUUUUUGCAAUCUUAAACCUAUCAGGAUCAAUACAGUAUAUGUGCAUACAUAUUUUAUGUGUUUACAGGCAUGUAAGACUGCUGAAAAAAGAUGGGAGAACAGUAGCCCUUGGCAAAGUUGUUGGAGAAAGAACAGAAGCACUUGAGGUAUGCCUCCAGGACAUCACACCUCCAUUUAAGCACCUUUACAAAGCAGGGGAAAAAGUGAAAUGGAGGAAAAAAUACAUAGAUGGGCUAAGUAAGCAGCAGGAGCAAGGAGCAGAAGACAAAGAUAGAGGCGAGAAGACAGAUGAGGAGAGAAAAGAAGUGGAAGAAGGAAGCAACAAAUUUAAAGGAGGAAGAGGCUAUGAAUACGUUAAUUAUAGCCCACCAAAGGCUUUUCAACCCCAAGGAGGCAAGCGGCCUGUAAAAAAAAGAAAGCUUUUUUCGUUGUAAUUCAUUUAUGCAUAAUAAUAAACAAUAUUUUAUCAUAUUGGUUUGUGAUUUAUUAUGCUUUAUUUUUUACCUAAACAUUUCAGCACACAAUUAAAAUUAAGUGAUAUUUUUAUAAGGAUAUUUUAAGUGCUUAAGAACUUAAAACAGUCUUAAAUAACCCCUUAAUUAAUAAAAAAUAAUGGGCAAAAUAAAGAAUUUUAAGGGUUUACGGACCCUUAUAAUACUACUGAACUAUCCCUUAAUUUAUUAGAAUUAAGGGGAGAUGUAAGUCAUUUUAAGUAGUAAAGGAACCUUACAGUACUCUUAA